GAGGAGGGGAGGGGAGAGUGACUCAACACCCCAGAGGAGGGGCAACUCUUUGUGACAGCCAGAUGCAUGAGAGAAAUGUCAAAAGGACAUGAACUCAGCCACAGGAAUCCAAAAACGUAAGUCACAGUUCUAUUUAUUUAAAAAUGGCAAAAUUUGUCAUCAAGAAGGAAAUUGAAAACGAAAAAGAGCGAGGAGGACUUCAGCAUGCUUUUUUAACGAUGUCCCCUCAGUCGUGGGUGUCAGCGAAGCCUGCCGUGACCACAUCUGACCAGCCAGGCCUCCCUAAGUCCCCCUGUGUUCCACCCUGAGGGUAAACCCAGCAGGCUCCAGAUGUCUGGCCUUUCUGAGGGCAAGUGAGGGCGUGUCUCAGUCAAGGCCCACUGCUGCAAGAGAUGGAAGCUGAUGUGAGUUAGCUUCAGCAUUGGAAAGAAUCUGGUUUAUCUCUUGAAGACAAGUGCAGCCAGGCCUCUGGAGGCACGGGACCCAGGAAUCAGUGUUUGCCAAAGUGUGUUCCUGGGGUCGCUAGUUCUGGCAGACGCCUGAGGAAAUGAAGUGAUCUGUGGUCCAGUGAGUUUGGGAAUGUUACAUGUAUUUUGCUCAAGGCACACUGGCAUAUUAAAGGCUCUGAUAAGUCCUGCAGCAAGAAAGCUUACUUAGUUAGCUAAGCACUUCCCCCAAAUAUCUGCAGAAUAAGGUAUACUUGUUAAGAACCUGACCGAGGAAGAGACUCCACAUCACCUUGGCCCUCGCCCUGUUGUGAUGGAGCUGACUUUACUCUGGAGGGACUAUGCUAAAGAGGCCGUAUAUCUAAUGGCCAAGGGUGUGGACCUCCUGACUUGAAUCCUUCCAGCCAUUCCUUCCUUCAUUGUUAGCUAGGCACGUAUUCAAGCUCAACCCAGACUGGGGAGUGAAGAGGCUGCUACGGGGGUGUAUGCAAGAGCAAUGGACUAGAGUCUAAAUACCUGAUUCUACACUGACUUACCAGGAUGAGUACUGGGCAUCACCUCUGCAGGCUCUAUUUGCCCUGCCAUAGGAUGGAGAUGACCAUUGUGUCCUGCUGUCCGCACUGUGGUGAAACUAAAAGAGGAGAAACCCAGGAACCAUCCCUGCCACACGGCUGUGAAGGUAGAGCAGGACACCAUUGUCCCUGGCCUUCUCCUGUCAGAACUUACAGGCUGAGGUUUGCAAAUUCCUGGAGAGAACAUAGCAACUUGGGCAAUGACGUGGGAGAGAACGUUCCCAGCACUGACGUGAGUCUCCCCACACCAGAGAACCAGAGAGCAGGCGAUUGAAGCUCAUGCUGCUCUGAACAGUUAUAGCAAAGCUGUUUCCUGCUGCUCCAUCAGUGUCCCCAGCAGGUGACCUUGGACAGAGUCCUAGAGCCAAACUGUGUCCCAGGAUCAGACCUUCACGACAGGGGAGCUCAAUAGGUCUGACGGAUGCUCAGUGGCAUCUUAUCCAAGUGUAUUUACAAAUAUAAAAGGGUUAGCCUCGGGGACAUGCAUUUUUGUGGGAGAUUCUGGAACUUGUCUCUUGCAUUUUUGAAUAUUUAUACUCUGCCUCCUGAGCUCAGCUGUAAAACCCAGGUCUGCCUUUUCUCCUAGACUGUUUUUGCUUGUGGAUACAAAAUUUGCUUCGAAGAAAUAAUAUAUGAAUGGCCCAUGCAGUAAAUUCCCCCCAGGACUGAAGGAACAAACAAUAGGUUUUUUAAUAGACCCUGUGCUGGGCCAUGCUUCGUGAGGGUCCGGUCACUAGUCCAAGUGACUGGCCAAGGAUGAAAAGGUCACCCCCACUCUCCCUCCAUCACUCCUCCAUUCUGUUGGCCUCAGAAUGGAGGGAAGCUGUGGCCUGCCCCUGCAUUCCCUGUUCUCCAACACCAAGCACCAUGUCUGUACCUUUCCCCUCGCUGGGGACACUCUCUGCAAUGUGUCCUCCUCCGUUUCUCAUGCCUAAAGCCUGGCUCUCUGUGAGGUCUU
rnacentral:lncRNA from 1 species